GGCCCCAUCGUCUAGUGGCCUAGGACGUAGCCCUCUCACGGCUAAGACCCGGGUUCGACUCCCGGUGGGGUCA
rnacentral:tRNA from 1 species